GGAGCGCGGAGCGCGCGCGCGCGCGCGCGUGGCGGCGCCCCGGCGCGGGGCCGGGUCCGGCGGGCCAGUCGGUCGGCUCCCCGCGCCGCUCCGUUUGUUCCUGGGUUCGUUCGUUCGUUCGUUCCUUCCUUCCCCGGCCCCGCGCCGGCGCCGGCGCGGGGUUGGAAAGAGGGGGAGAGGGGCGGGGGGCGCGGCCGGCCCCCUUCCCCGUUUCCGUCCCCGCGGCGCGUGCCGUGGGACGGGCUCCCUCCGUUUUACCCGAGCCCGGGGGGUUGACCUGGCGGCCGGGCUAGGGGGCGCUCCGCGUCCCCCUUCGGGGGGUUGACCUGUCGGGCG
rnacentral:misc_RNA from 1 species